GAGAACUCUGACCGAGCAACGCCGCGUGAAUGACGAAGUACUUCGGUAUGUAAAGUUCUUUUAUCAAGGAAGAAAAGCAAAUGGCGAACCAUUUGUUUGCCGGUACUUGAUGAAUAAGCCCCGGCUAAUUAUGUGCCAGCAGCCGCGGUAAGACAUAAGGGGCAAGUGUUAUCCGGAAUUAUUGGGCGUAAAGGGUGCGUAGGCGGUCUAGUAAGUCAGUGGUGUAAUGGCAACGCUUAACGUUGUCCGGCUAUUGAAACUGCUAAACUUGAGUUAGAUAGAGGCGAGUGGAAUUCCAUGUGUAGCGGUAAAAUGCGUAAAUAUAUGGAGGAACACCAGAGGCGUAGGCGGCUCGCUGGGUCUUAACUGACGCUGAGGCACGAAAGCGUGGGGAGCAAACAGGAUUAGAUACCCUGGUAGUCCACGCCGUAAACGAUGAGUACUAAGUGUCGGGUUAAACCGGUACUGAAGUUAACACAUUAAGUACUCCGCCUGAGUAGUACGUACGCAAGUAUGAAACUUAAAGGAAUUGACGGGACUCCGCACAAGCGGUGGAUCAUGUUGUUUAAUUCGAAGAUACCCGAAAAACCUUACCAGGUCUUGACAUGUUUUUGCAAAAUGAUAGUAAUAUCGUGGAGGUUACCAGAAACACAGGUGGUGCAUGGUUGUCGUCAGCUCGUGUCGUGAGAUGUUAGGUUAAGUCCUAAAACGAGCGAAACCCUUAUCGUUAGUUGCCAGCACGUUAUGGUGGGGACUUUAACGAGACUGCCAAUGAUAAAUUGGAGGAAGGUGAGGAUCACGUCAAAUCAGCAUGCCCCUUAU
rnacentral:rRNA from 1 species